AACGAACGCUGGCGGCAUGCCUAACACAUGCAAGUCGAACGAAGCCUUCGGGCUUAGUGGCGCACGGGUGCGUAACGCGUGGGAAUCUGCCCUUGGGUUCGGAAUAACAGUUAGAAAUGACUGCUAAUACCGAAUGAUGUCUUCGGACCAAAGAUUUAUCGCCCAAGGAUGAGCCCGCGUCGGAUUAGCUAGUUGGUGAGGUAAAGGCUCACCAAGGCGACGAUCCGUAGCUGGUCUGAGAGGAUGAUCAGCCACACUGGGACUGAGACACGGCCCAGACUCCUACGGGAGGCAGCAGUGGGGAAUAUUGGACAAUGGGCGAAAGCCUGAUCCAGCAAUGCCGCGUGAGUGAUGAAGGCCUUAGGGUUGUAAAGCUCUUUUACCCGGGAAGAUAAUGACUGUACCGGGAGAAUAAGCCCCCGGCUAACUCCGUGCCAGCAGCCGCGGUAAU
rnacentral:rRNA from 1 species